rnacentral:rRNA from 1 species
UGAGGAAUAUUGGUCAAUGGGCGCAAGCCUGAACCAGCCAUCCCGCGUGAAGGAAGAAGGCGCUAUGCGUUGUAAACUUCUUUUCCAGGGGGAGAAUUAUCCCGAUGUAUCGGGAUUUGACGGUACUCUGGGAAUAAGCAUCGGCUAACUCCGUGCCAGCAGCCGCGGUAAUACGGAGGAUGCGAGCGUUAUCCGGAUUUAUUGGGUUUAAAGGGUGCGUAGGCGGAACAAUAAGUCAGUGGUGAAAUUCUGCAGCUUAACUGUAGACUUGCCAUUGAUACUGUUGGUCUUGAGUAUGGUCAAGGUAGGCGGAACGUGUAAUGUAGCGGCGAAAUGCUUAGAUAUUACACAGAACACCGAUUGCGAAGGCAGCUUGCUGGGCCAAUACUGACGCUGAUGCACGAAAGCGUGGGGAUCGAACAG